GGGCUAGGGUGACCACUCCAACCCCUGUGACAUACCGUACGUUGCCUCGGCGGGGGGGCCUUUCCCCCCCCGCCGGCGGCCCACGAAGCUCUGUUUUGCCCUGAAUCUCUGAAACAACAAACUAAAUCAUUUAAAACUUUCACCAACGGAUCUCUUGGUUCUGGCAUCGAUGAAAAACGCACCUAAUUGCGAUACGUAGUGUGAAUUGCAAAAUUCAGUGAAUCAUCAAAUCUUUGAACGCACAUUGCGCCCGCUAGUAUUCUGGCGGGCAUGCCUGUUCAAGCGUCAUUUCAACCCCUUAACCCCCCGUUGCUUAUUGUUGGGAGCCCACGGCACCCCCGCCGUCGCUCCUCAAAUCCAGGGGCGGAGCCGGUUCGCGCUCUAGGCGUAGUAAAUUUUCUCCAUCUCGCCUACGGCCGGGCCGGCCCUCCUGCCGUAAAAGAACCCCCCCUCCACAGAAGGUUGACCUCAAAUCAGGUAGGAAUACCCGCUGAACUUAAGCAUAUCAAUAAGCGGAGGAAAUCA
rnacentral:rRNA from 1 species